rnacentral:rRNA from 1 species
UACAGAGGUGCCGAGCGUUAGGCGGAAUCACUGGGCUUAAAGCGUGUGUAGGCGGACGUCUAAGUACCUUGUGAAAUCCCACGGCUCACCCGUGGAACUGCUGGGUAUACUGGGCGUCUUGAGCCACCUAGGGGCCAGCGGAACAAAUGGUGGAGCGGUGAAAUGCGUAGAUAUCAGUUGGAACGCCAACGGUGAAAACAGCUGGCUGGGGGUGUGCUGACGCUGAGACACGAAAGCCAGGGGAGCGAACGGG